AACUAGCCCCGAUUGCACGGAAAGCCUACAGCGCAGCGAGGACUUGCAGUGAAAGUGGGACUGGAA
rnacentral:sRNA from 1 species